rnacentral:rRNA from 1 species
GGUUAAGCGACUAAGCGUACACGGUGGAUGCCCUGGCAGUCAGAGGCGAUGAAGGACGUGCUAAUCUGCGAUAAGCGUCGGUAAGGUGAUAUGAACCGUUAUAACCGGCGAUUUCCGAAUGGGGAAACCCAGUGUGUUUCGACACACUAUCAUUAACUGAAUCCAUAGGUUAAUGAGGCGAACCGGGGGAACUGAAACAUCUAAGUACCCCGAGGAAAAGAAAUCAACCGAGAUUCCCCCAGUAGCGGCGAGCGAACGGGGAGGAGCCCAGAGCCUGAAUCAGUGUGUGUGUUAGUGGAAGCGUCUGGAAAGGCGCGCGAUACAGGGUGACAGCCCCGUACACAAAAAUGCACAUACUGUGAGCUCGAUGAGUAGGGCGGGACACGUGGUAUCCUGUCUGAAUAUGGGGGGACCAUCCUCCAAGGCUAAAUACUCCUGACUGACCGAUAGUGAACCAGUACCGUGAGGGAAAGGCGAAAAGAAC